GGCUGGUCCCAGUGCAGUGGUGUUGACAACUAAUCGGUCACAAUGGUGACAGAUUCCUUUGUUCCUUCUCCACGCCCACUGCUUCACCUGACUAGCCUUAA
rnacentral:Y_RNA from 1 species